rnacentral:lncRNA from 1 species
AGCCCUUGUAUACUUUACCCUCACGAUCAUGCAUGGGUAACGCCAUGUCUCUUGCUGGAAAAGGCGGAAAUCCGGGGAAAUUUAAAAGCGCGCUGCCGAGUUCUCUGAAGCUCUUUGUGGUGUUUUUAUGAAGAGUUGGUAAGUAGAGGUUAGCAGCGAGUACGCUUCCUGCGGUGGUGAAGUAAUAGUAAGUAGGGAUACUGAGAGUACUCGAGGAAACUUGAAACGCGGGGUUGCAAAGGAAAUCGAUAACAAAGGCUUUCAGGUUUGAGCGUUUGGAAAUUGUUAUUAGGGUUUCGUGGAGAUUAGGGUUGUUGAGCUCGCCAAGCUCGUACACUAAGGCUGGGAAGUCAGCUGGUGAACGUAAAGUGUCGGGUAGGCCGGAAACCGGAGGAGGGAGUUGGUGGAAGGUAACGGAGGGAGCUGUGGCGGAGACGGAGGCGAUGUAAUCAUCGGUACCGGCGCUUGAUACGAACGGGGCGGUGGGGAUUAUGAUGUCAAUGGAGAAGCAAGGGUGGUACGUGAGUAUCAAUUUUCCUAAUUCAACCAUGGAGUUUAAGUGACCUCUUCCUGGAGAAGUAUAAAAGACAAUCGUAUCUUUCAUUUUUUUUAAUCUUUAAUUUUACAAGUUAAAAUAUUUUUAAAAAAAACAGUAGAAAUGGUGAGAAAUUAUAGUGAGAGAGAAUGAGAGUGUGAUAAAGGGCUCCUUUGUGUUUGCUAAUCGCAAUGCAAUUAUGCAUCGAAGCCCACGACGAAAUACUGGAAGCCUGUAGGUUACAGGGUUAAAUGGGCAAAGAAUUGUUGGUUGAAGUAAAGGGAGCUUAAAGAAACUUUCACAAGUGGAGGAGGAUUUUGGGGAAAACGAUUCAGUCUCUUCUACUCGGCUUCAAUGCCUUGCGUAAGUGUAGCAUGUGGGCUGAAUUAUUUAUCAAAACGAGAAGGACUUGCGAGUUGAGGUCACUUAGUUGCCAGGUUGUGAACCCAUCAGACAAUCACAGUAUGCUGACAUAAUUGACCAACCUGUUUUCUAGCCACAUAGUUCAACUACCCACUAUGACUUUUCAAAGCAAAUGACGUGGCCUAUGUUUACACCGCUUGAUUUACCUGUCCCCUACCCCGCUCUGUUUUCUCCUAAUCUUUAACUAGGCUCCACCGUAUUAAAAAUAAAAAUAAAAAACAAAAACUAUCCCUUAAUUCUUCUAGAUUACCAGAGGGAAGUGGUGGAAAGUGACGGAAGGAGUGGUGGCGGAGACGGAGGCGAUGCAACCGUGGAUACAGGAGCUUGUUUCGAAUGGGGCGGUGGUGCGGAUUAUGGUAGCAAGGGUGGUAAUUAAGUAUCAAUUUUCCUAAUCCUACGAUGAAAUUUAAGUGACAUUUUUCUUGGAGAAGGAUACAAAAUAAAGUAUUCUUUCAUUUCUUUACCUAUAAUUUAAAAUUAUUAAAUGCUAAAAAAAAGGUCGGAGCUUAUAGAAAAAAGUUUAGAAUAUUAAUAUAUUAGUUUUAUUGGUUUCUUUAUGAUAUAUUUACCGGUAAUUAUUUUUAAAGAUACAACGUUAUCAAAUUAGCUUUACAAAUAAUUCAUGUGACAAUUUAAUUUAAAUUUGUGAUCGUAUGUACAAUAAAAUUAAAUUUAUAGAGAGAAAACUCCUUAAAUUUUUAUCCUUUUAGAAGUAAGAAUAAUAUAUUAGGCAUGUGAACCUUCCAUUGCGAUUAGGCCAAUCAAAAUUUGAACAUAUGAAGUCUGCAACAGUCACUUCAAUUGCGAUUAGGCCAAUCAAAAUAUGAACAUAUGAAGUCUACAACAGUCACUUCCAUUGCGAUUAAGCCAAUCUUGUAGCUAUAUUCGUGGCAUGUUAAUGCUGACCAAUUUUAAUUUAAAUUAUUGGCUCGGCGAGUACUGAAGUACAAUUAAUCUGUCCGCGAAAUCGGAAUAAAAUAUUUGUGUCCCAAUUUACUGGCACAUUACAUGUCAAUUGAUUAAUGAUAGCAUAAAGAGGUGUGCUAGCGACAGUCGGUCGCCCUUGUGGGCCACUAACUCAGUCGCUCUUUUAUUUUAUGGGCACGUGUUUGAUAUUUUGGUUCUGUGUAAUUUUAAAUUAAUGUUAAUAUCUUUAAGUUUUGUUUUAAUAUUAUUAUUUUUAUGUAUAACGAAUUUACCACAAUAUCCUUAUCAUUUCUCCCUCUCGCCAGGCUUGUUCUCCCUGCCACUGCAGCUCCUUCUCUGCUUCUUCAAUUUCUUUUCUCUCUCUACUGGAAGCUUGGAAAAAAGAGAGAAAAGGGAAAAAAAAAAAUUUGAAGUCAAGUCUCCUUUUUAGCCAAAAUAAAAUUUUAAAAAAUAUUUUACUUUAAAAAAUAAAUAACAAAAAUUAUCCUAGCCAUGUAGAUCCGAUUACGCACCUAAAAUAAAAUAUCAUAUCAAAUCUGAAGUAGGAGAAGUGGAGAGACGGUCAUCUUUCAAGCAACGAUAAUAUUUUGUUAUCAUUUCUUUUUUUAGGAGACUUUGUUUUUUUAAAUCUUUUUUCCCCUUGUCUUUUUUUUUUUUUCCCUUCCAAUCUUUCGUUAAAGGAGAAAAGAAGGAAAAGAAAUUGACGAAGAAGAGAACAAUAAGAAGAGAAAGCUUGGCAAGGAGGAGAAAGGAUAAGGAUGUUUUGGUAAUUUCACUAUACAUAUAUAUAAUAAUAUUAAAAUAAAACUAAAAGAUAUUAAUAUUUUAACAUUUAUUUAAAACUAUACAGAACCCAAAAUAUCAAACACGUGUCAGCAAAUGAAGUUAGCGGCUGAUGGGCGAUUGUCGCUAACACUCCUCUACUAUUAAAAAGCCAGCUAUUAUUAAACCCAUCACAUGUCAUUUCUUUAAAAUGUUGUAUUCAAGAAGCAUAUGAAGUCUCCUUCAAUUUUUUUAAAACUUCUAACUAUAUUUCAAUGGAAUUCUCACUAAACCUGCUUAACAAUUAACUAAAAUAUGUAGCUGGCAAAUUAAUUUCAACUUUUGCUUACGAGGAAAUACUACUAAUCAAGUUUUUUACAAUGAGGAUCAAAAUUCUCAAUUAAAAUAGGCGACGUUUUCUCGUAUUCUAUAAUUUCUCUUAAGCAUAUGGUUAAAUUAUUAUUUGGCAGUCGUAUGUAAAUGAAAGAAAUUCACACUUCUUUGUAAUUAAAAUUAUUCUCAACAUUAUUUUGCUCUUCCAUAAAUUCAAUAGGAGUCACUUUAUAUGUGUUCUAAGAUUAAUAAAAAAUAAAUAAAGAUAUCAAUUCAGGGUUAAAAAAAAUGUAACGGUGAGUGUAAAGAUGGGCUUAAAGAAUACAAAUAUUUUAAUAAUUUAAUUUUUUUUUUCCAAGUGUGGAUUUAGUGAGUGGGUUUGUGUGUUCAAAUGCAUAUUAUUAUGUAAUAAAAAAAUACAAAUAAUUAUUACGAAGUGUUUGUACUAUGGACUUUUCGGAUAAGCCAAUUAACGACUAUUGCUAAAAGCCCCUCACUGUAUUCAUGCAAGUGAUCCAAGGCCGUAUCGUAGCUCAAGCACCAAACAGCUUAAUUUAUGUUUGGGCCGGGUCGGAUUAUGGACUUUGGACUGAAUUUCUUUUUGGUACUUUUUGAGAAAAAUAACAAGAAGACACUAAAAUACAGCAGUCACAAACUCUCAACUAUUGUAUACAAAUAGAUAACAUAAUAAAAAUAAAUGAUAUGGAUGGUACGGUGUUUUAUUUAAUUAAAUCCAUGCUAUUUAUACCACGUGAGUUGUACAAUAAAUUUGUAGUUAGCCACAUCUAGUUCUCGUAAUUGUGCCCUUCAUAGAUUACCUUAUCUAAGCCCUUAGGCAAUCGUAUGGCCGAGAUUACCUUAGUAUUGACUAUAAGACAAAAGUUGGUGACUUAAAUUUUGCAUUCCUCUACUAACGUGACAUGACUUUUGUUUUGUUGCCUUAUUCAUUUAUUUCUUUACUUUUGUUUUAUUACCUUAUUUAUUUAAUUCUCUACUUUUUCGUCCUUUUUGUCUUUUCUCUAUGAUCAAUGCAAAAUUUUAACAAUUUUUAAGCCCAUUCAACUCGGCAUCAUUCAUGUUUAGCUAAGCAUUCUUUGGUCAGCUCAAGGUCAUAUUAUCCCCCGUUUAAGUUUCCAACACAGAUCAUAUCUUCUCGAUAUUGGAAACUAAGCGACUAGUGUUCGGUUUACGAAUAUUUUUCUAUUUUUUUUAAUAAUUAAUUUCUAACACUCGUAAUAACUUCCUGAUAUUAAAAACUAAGGGAUUGAUGUUGAGAUUAGUUUUUUUUUUUUGACCCAAUGCCGAGAAAUACAAUUGACCCUAACUUGUUAGGAAUCAAAUGCUAUUGAACUGACCUCAUGAGUACAACCAAAAACCUAUGUUGACAACCUGAUUUUAUAAGUACAACUUCGAAUUAAUGUGGACGACCUUAUUUAUAAAUACAACUCUAGGUCUAUGCGAGCGACAUAAAAAUCCACCAAUAUGAUUUGGAAAUGAAGUAAUUCAACCUCGAAACUUGUUUGUCCAACCUGAGGAUGUGCUAGCUCGACACGAAAUAUUAUUUGUCAAGACCACGAGGCCUAUAUUUUGGGGAAAUUACAAACCACAACUUGUCAAACCGUCUUCAACUGACGACUAGCUAUAACUGCUCAAGAGAAUGGGAUAAAACUGAUGGAGUAACCAUCCACAACUGAGAGUCUAUUUUAAGUGGAAAAGAGCAUCAAAGGAAAUGAUUAGAAAAAUUAACUAAAAAGCUCUAUAAAUGACUAGUCUUAAAACCUUCUUAUUUUUUAUGAGAUUAACAACACAACCACCCAAGAAUUCUUUGAUUUUAACUCAUUUCCAAUUCCUCUUUUUCAUUUUCUUUUUUCUCAUAUACAAAACAUCUUACUUAAGCAUCAAAGGAUUCUUGUCGAAACCCCCACCAGUGUGUAUUAACCGUGUUCUAUGGUUAGUAGGUAUAAGAAGUUAUGGUUGAGCUGUAGUUUGAGCUUGGAUUCGUGUUGUUAUUCCCUAGACAAAUAAAUUCAAAUGUUAAGGCAGUUUUUCUGCAUCACCACCCUCCUUAAAAGACAUUCAUUAAAUAAUAAUCCUUUGGUAAUUAGCCCAUGAGCGUACUAAGAAUAGUAAAGGAAAUCUACGGAAUGACAUACAAUUGUUAAUAUUCCAAAUUAAAGAAAAACAUCAUCGUUUAUUUUUAAAAGAACGAGAGAGAAUCACAGGUGCUAAUUUUUACUCGAAUAAUUUUAUACAUAUACAUUUACUCAAAAAGUUAGCAAAGGAAAAAAAAUGCAUGAACUUAUUAAAAACAAAAAAUAUUGAAUUACUAAACAGAAAUUUUAUGCAACUUUUGUGAAAACUUCAUUAUUGUUUUGACUGUCCCAACGGAGCCAUGCGUCCUCUUUUAAAUGACUCAACCAAAUUGUCCAAUGCAACACGAGAUGACCCACCAUCCCUCAUCGCUGCUGCAGCUGCUUCUUUCAUUGCCACCGCACGUUCUUUAACAGCUCUACCUUUCUCCGAGUCCAUCAACUCACUAACUCGCUGCUCCAACUCGGCUGAGCUCACCAAUCCGUCUCCUUCUUCUGACCGAGUCACCGCCAAACCCACCUUCAUUUCCUCCACCACGACCGCUCUAAUCAUCUUUUGCUCGGCAUACAGAGGCCAAGCCAACAUUGGCACCCCGGCACAAACACCUUCAAGCACCGAGUUCCACCCGCAGUGAGUCACAAACCCGCCAACUGACUCAUGAUUCAGUACCUCCACUUGCGGCGCCCACGAUUCAACCACGAGCCCCCUAUCUUUUGUUCUAUCCAAGAACCCUUCAGGUAAAAGAGACUCCAAUGAGCUUCGGUUCUCGACGCUGUCGGGAGCUGGAGCUCUCACGACCCAAAGAAACUUAACACCACUUCUCUCCAACCCAAUGGCCAUUUCUUUUAACUGCUUACAAGAGAACGAUCCCAAGCUUCCGAAACAAAGAAACAGGACGCUUCGACUCGGUUUCGAGUCAAGCCAGCUCAAGCAUUCAUGUCGAUCACGUCCUCGAUUCUCUCCAUUUCCUCGACCAACCACGGGCCCUAUGCAAUAUAAAGGCGGCAACGUCUCCCCUGGAAUGCAUUGUCCUUCUAGCAUCGCUUUGAUAGCUCUCUCUUGGAGCAAUUCAAAUGUGUUUACAAUAAUCCCCGCAGAUUUUGCCAUCUGGAUGCCGGUGUCGACUAAGCCCUUGUAUACUUUACCCUCACGAUCAUGCAUGGGUAACGCCAUGUCUCUUGCUGGAAAAGGCGGAAAUCCGGGGAAAUUUAAAAGCGCGCUGCCGAGUUCUCUGAAGCUCUUUGUGGUGUUUUUAUGAAGAGUUGGUAAGUAGAGGUUAGCAGCGAGUACGCUUCCUGCGGUGGUGAAGUAAUAGUAAGUAGGGAUACUGAGAGUACUCGAGGAAACUUGAAACGCGGGGUUGCAAAGGAAAUCGAUAACAAAGGCUUUCAGGUUUGAGCGUUUGGAAAUUGUUAUUAGGGUUUCGUGGAGAUUAGGGUUGUUGAGCUCGCCAAGCUCGUACACUAAGGCUGGGAAGUCAGCUGGUGAACGUAAAGUGUCGGGUAUGCGGGAAACCGGAGGAGGGAGCUGGUGGAAGGUAACGGAGGGAGCUGUGGCGGAGACGGAGGCGAUGUAAUCAUCGGUACCGGCGCUUGUUACGAACGGGGCGGUGGGGAUUAUGAUGUCGAUGGAGAAGCAAGGGUGGUACGUGAGUAUCAAUUUUCCUAAUUCUACCAUGGAAUUUAAGUGACCUCUUCCUGGAGAAGUAUAAAGGACAAUCGUAUCUUUCAUUUUUUUUAAUCUUUAAUUUUACAAGUUAAAAUAAAAAAAACAGUAGAAAUGGUGAGAGAUUACAGUGAAAGAGAAUGAGAGUGAUAAAGGGCUCCUCUGUGUUUGCAAACCGCAAUACACUUUUAUGCAUCGACACCCACGACGAAAAAGUGGAAGCUUGUAGGCUACAGGUUUAAAAGGGCAAAGAAUUGUUGGUUGAGAGAAUUUGGUUGAAGUAAAGGGAGCUUAAAGAUACUUUCACAAGUGGAGGAGGAUUUUGGGGAAAACUAUGUGGGUUUGAUGGUUUCUUCUACUUGGCUUUAAUGCCUUUUUGUAACUUUUGGGCUGAAUUAUUUAUAGAAACCAGAAGGACUUGCGUGUUGGGCUCUGUUAUCACUUAUUUGACAGUUUGCUAACAUAAUUGACCUAACAUAUAUUUUAGCCCGCAUAGUACAACCUACCCAAUUGAUUUUUCAAAGCAGAUGACUUGGCCCAUGUUUACGCCGCUUGAUUUAACUAUCCCUUAACUCUUCUAGAUUACUAGAGGGCACUGUUGGAAAGUGACGGAGAGAGUGGUGGCGAAGACGGAGGCGAUGCAACCGUGGAUACUGGAGCUUGUCUCGAAUGGAGCGGUGCUAAUCAAGUGAGUAUCAAUUUUCCUAAUUUUACAAUGAAAUUUAAGUGACAUCUUCUUGGAGAAGGAUGCCUAUAAUUUAAAAUUAUUGGAUGCUAAAAAAAAAAAUCAUAGCUCAUGGAAUAAAGUUUAGAAUAAAUUAGUUUUAUUAAUUUUAAGUAAUUAUUUUAAAAGAUACAAUAUUAUCAAACUAGUCCUCCAUAUGAUUCAUCUGUCAAUUUAGUUUAGGUUUAUAAUCGUAUAUGCAAUAAAGUAAAUUUAUGCAAAGAAACAUCCUUAAACUUUUAUCCUUUUGGGGGUAAGAAAAAUAUAUUAGGUAUGUGAACAUUAAUUGAUUGUAAGUUAUUAAUUUAUAAAGCAUUCCUAUAAUGUCAUGUUCAAAACAGUCAAACAGAUCAAAAUGAAUUAUAAUUCAUUGCGAUUAAGCCAAUCUUGUAGCAAUAUUUGUGGCAUGUUAAUGCUGAUCAAUCUUAAUUUAUAUCAUUGGCUCGUCGAAUAUUGAAGUACAAUUAAUAUGUCUGUGAAAUUGGAAUAAAAUAUUUGUAUCCCAAGUUUACUAGCACAUGAAAUGUCAUUCCCAUUGGGUUAUGAAAUUAUUUGAUUUGCUUAAUGAUAGUAUAAAAAGUCAAUUAUUAUCAAACACAUGACAUAUCAUUUCUCUAAAAUGUUAUAUUCAAGAAGUAUAUGAAGUUUCCUUCAAUUUUUUAAAAAUUUCUAACUAUAUUUUAAUAGAACUCUCAUUAAACCCACUUAACAAUUAACUCAAAUUUCUAGGUGGCAACUUAACUCCAACUUUUGCUAAUGAGAAACAACUACUAAAUUAAGUUUUUUUACAAUAUGGAUCAAAGCUCUCAAGUAAAAUAGGCGACAUUCUCUAAUAUUCUGCAAUUUCUUUAAGCACAUGGUUAAACUAUGUAUUUGGCAUUCGUAUGUAAAUGAAAGAAAAUCACAAUUCUUUGUAAUUAAAAUUAUUCUCAACAUUAUUCUACUCCUUCAUAAAUUCAAUAGGAGUCACUUUAUAUGUGCUCUAAGAUUAAUAAAAAAAAUAAAGAUAUCAAUUCAGGGUUUAAGAAAAACAUAACAAUCAGUGUAAAGAUGGGUUCAAAGAGUAAAACUAAUUUAAUAAUUAAAUAUUUUUUCCAAAUGUGGAUUUUAGUGAGUAGCUUUGUGUGUUCAAAUACAAAUUAUUAUUACGAAGUGUUUAUACUAUGACUUGAAUAUUUUGAAUUUUCUUUUUAGCAAGGAGCAAAAAUAUAGAAAUUGCUCGGUGGAUGAAAGAAACCUAACGGUUUUCUGAUUGAAGAUCGGAUGUGAUGAGUAAAUCUAACGGUAUUUUUCAUUGAAGAUCGGAUAUGGAAUUGUAGAUGUGGAAUGACAUUUUCGCUUGUGGAACGGUAGUUGUGCUGAUGCUUGUAGAUCCUUGUCCUCAAGCAUCAACAUCAUCUGAUAAAUCGAUCACAAAGACUGAACUUUUCGAAUAAGCCAAUCGGCAACUAUUGCUAAAAACCCCUCACGAAAAACUAAGCACGCACCUACUUUCACUCAUGCAAGUGAUCCAAGGCCGAAUUGUAGCUCAAGCCCAAACAGGUUAAUUUAUGUUUGGGCCCGAUCGUAUUAUGGACUUUGGACUGAAUUUCUUCUUGGUACUUUUUGAGAAAAAUAACAACAAUACAGUAAAGAGUGGGACUACUGGCACCCCAAUAAAUUUCUCAUAACACCUCUUUUCUUAACUCUAUUAAAAUAUUUUAAAAAUUAUAAAAUUCUUUUAACACCUCCAUUAAUAAUAAAAAUACCCUUAAAUAAAAUUUAUUGUGUAAACUCUAUUUUUUAUUUUUUAUUAUUAAAACACAUUUCAACAAUCAGAUCUCUUCCAUUUAAAAGAAAAAGACAAUGAGUUUUUAUUCUCUCCAUUAUAGCCAUCGGUCUCACCCGAAAAUUAGAGAAAAAGACAAUAUUUUUUUAUUUAUAAAAUGAACAAAAAAUAUUUGACUUUUGAGUGAGACUUAAUUAGAAAUUAUCCUUUUAUAUAAUUUGAAUAGAGGUUAAAAUUGUAAAACAAUUAAAGAAAUUUUAAGAGCUGUUUAGAAGGGUGCCAACAGUCUCACUCUACAGUAAAAUACAGAAGUCACAAACUCUCAAUAGCAACAAUUUUAUACAAAUUGAUAACAUAAUAAAAAUAAAUCACAUGCAUCAUUCAUACGGUGUUCGCGUCAGUUGUACAACAAAUUUGUAAUUAGCCACAUUUAGUUUUCGUAAUUGCGCCCUUCACAGAAUGGUUUAAUUAUCACAUUAUCUCUCCGAUCCGAAUAAAUCAAUGCGGAAUCAUUAUAAAUUAAUGUAAUCUUCAUGGAAUUCUGGUUUAUUAUCAAAGGCAGCAAUUUGAGCUUCGAAAAGAAGCUUGCUAGAGAGAGUUUGCUAGAGAGAGCCGAUCGUCUUGUUUUGUUGUUCUAUUUGAAAGCUGCUGAGGGAACAAGAAACAGACGGCGAGCUGCUUAAGUAAAUUACCGAGUGAAGUCAGCACCUCGCAAUAUGAGACUAGACAAGCCAACAAUAAGUUCACGUGGUGGAUUUGGUGCAGCGCCCGUGAUCAUUCACUGGUUCUGGAUAGCAGACAAAUCACAGCAUUUUUAGCACCCGACAAAACCCCAUUGAUGAUGAAAGACAGCGAUAGCCCUUGGAUUCGUCACUCACUCUGUGCAUCAAUUAUCUUAAUUAUAAUAUGGAUAGGGACCCGUGACACAUUGUGAGAAGCUUGUGGGUCACCAAUUAUAAGCAAUGUAUCUUUCUCAUCCCACCCAUUUUUCUUUUUUUUUAAAAGUACAAUGAUUAAUUUUAGCCCAUCAAAUUAUUGUGUCAAGUCGAUGAAGACGAACGAGGAAUAUACAUAUAUGUAUAUAUAUUUUCUAGAUUUUUGAUAAAAAUGCGAACGUCCGUACUUAAAAAAAAUUUCAUUAAUUAAUAAUCUCAAAAACAGGAAGAGCAUACAUGAUUAUUCAUCUUUUUACUGUAAUUUCCAGCAUUUCGAUCACUUCUUCUCUUUUGACAGCAGAGAAGGAUUUCUGUUUAGAAUUAUAAUGAUACACGUACACUCACGUUACUUACAAAACAAAAUGGAAACAAUUAUACAUUUUACAAAACGUAGUAGGAAAAUUCCCGUUAGGUUGAAGCAUAUAUUGUAUUGACAAUAUACUGGACGAACAAAUUUAAUUACAAAACUGUCAAUCAAACGAGCUUUACUGUCAUAUUUCAAAUUAUUGAUUUCAUCCAUGGAAUGAAACCCAACAAAGAAAUAUAUGACGCAGAAAAUUGACUUCGGUUCUUGAGAAUUUACGCCUAUUUCUUAGAUUUUGAAACCCUCCUGAUCAAAACAACGAAACAAAGCAGACGAUAUAAUACAAAGAAGCCAAUCAAGAAGUAAAUAUUUGUCCAUCUCUGCCUCUCAUGUAGCCCUCUAUUUUGCAACACAUCACCUCCAGUCACCAUGCACGUUGUGUUCUCUUGGUACCAUAGUAGACACUUGGACGCAAGGCAGGAAUACUCAUUGAUAAGAAGCGCGUCGAGGGCGUACUUGUACAUUGAAAAGAAGUGCAUGAAUAGCCAAUACUUGGGCAUGCUGUCCUUUUUGAUGAAGUAGCCAGAGAAGAGAAAAAACGCACCAAGAAAUAUUGUCACGAGUGAAGUUCCCGCAAUGUAAUUUGGUGCAAGAGAGCUCAGGAAAAGCACAAAUGAAUUAGCCAUCAGGAUUAUGACCCAUAUGACCAAAACAAAGUAAGCAAAGGCUUGCCAUGAAGCACAAAGCCCCACCAAGAAGUAAACUGAGACUGAGUAAAUGAUUGCAACGGCAAGCAAGUAUGGCAAGAACACAAGGGUAUUCGCUAUGAGGUAACUCGAAAGGCGAUAGACUCCACUUGAAGUCUCUCUCAAUAGAAUUGGCCUUUCAUUGAUAAAGAUUGGGAGAGUUUCAGUUGUCGAGGAGAGGAGAAAAGUGAGAGUGAAGGCAAAGAGACCAAACCUGUUUUCAAUUCCUUGCUUGUCAUACCCAACAUUGAUAAAAAUAGUGCCUAAAACAAGACCUACAAUGAGAGCUUCCAAUGUGUUUGUCAAAAGCAGCUGCCUUGUUCUGUAAAUGAUCUUCCAAAACCUGUUGUACAAAGUGCAAACUUCUUGGAGCCUUGAGCUUCUAUAUAUUGUCGCCGUAUGGUUCACUUCGUUAUCGCAAGGAGAAGUUGCAGAACCAUCGUCGUCAUCACCACUAGGUGGUGUGUUCAUAAGAGGCUUAGUAUCAU